rnacentral:rRNA from 1 species
UACGAAGGGAGCUAGCGUUACUCGGAAUUAUUGGGCGUAAAGCGCGCGUAGGCGGCUAUGUAAGUCAGAAGUGAAAUCCUGAGGCUCAACUUCAGAAUUGCUUUUGAUACUGCGUAGCUAGAGUAUCAGAGGGGAUAGCGGAAUUCCUAGUGUAGAAGUGAAAUUCGUAGAUAUUAGGAGGAACACCGGUGGCGAAGGCGG